AACGCUGGCGGCGUGCAUAAAACAUGCAAGUCUAACGGGCAGCCGCGAGGCUGUCAGUGGCGGACGGCUGAGUAACACGUAAGUGACCUACCCCCGAGUGGGGAAUAACUGCUCGAAAGAGUGGCUAAUACCGCAUACGCUCGGUGCUUCGGUGGACCGAGUAAAGCAGCGAUGCGCUUGGGGAUGGGCUUGCGGCCGAUUAGCUAGUUGGUGGGGUAAGGGCCUACCAAGGCGAUGAUCGGUAGCUGGUCUGAGAGGAUGAUCAGCCAGACUGGGACUGCGACACGGCCCAGACUCCUACGGGAGGCAGCAGUUAGGAAUUUUGCGCAAUGGACGAAAGUCUGACGCAGCAACGCCGCGUGGGGGAUGAAGGUCUUCGGAUCGUAAACCUCUUUUGCCGGGGAAGAUAAUGACGGUACCCGGCGAAUAAGCCCCGGCUAACUACGUGCCAGCAGCCGCGGUAAUACGUAGGGGGCGAGCGUUGUCCGGAUUUAUUGGGCGUAAAGAGCGCGUAGGCGGCCCGCCAAGUCUUGCGUUAAAUACCUCGGCUCAACCGAGGGGGGUCGUGGGAUACUGGCGAGCUAGAGGCCGGUAGGGGGAAGUGGAAUUCCCGGUGUAGUGGUGGAAUGCGUAGAUAUCGGGAGGAACACCAGUGGCGAAGGCGGCUUCCUGGACCGGUCCUGACGCUGAGGCGCGAAAGCGUGGGGAGCGAACUGAAUUAGAUACUCAGGUAGUCCACGCUGUAAACAAUGGGUGCUAGGUGUCGGGGGUAUCGACCCCUCCGGUGCCGCAGCUAACGCAUUAAGCACCCCGCCUGGGGAGUACGGCCGCAAGGCUAAAACUCAA
rnacentral:rRNA from 1 species